rnacentral:rRNA from 1 species
GGCCUAAACAUGCAAGUCGAGCGGCAGCGGGAAGCAUUGCUUGCUAUCUUUGCCGGCGAGCGGCGGAUGGGUGAGUAAUGCCUACGGAUCUGCCCAGUCGAGGGGGAUAACAGUUGGAAACGACUGCUAAUACCGCAUACGCCCUACGGGGGAAAGGAGGGGACCUUCGGCCCUUCCGCGAUUGGAUGAACCUAUGUGGGAUUAGCUAGUUGGUGAGGUAAUGGCUCACCAAGGCGACGAUCCCUAGCUGUUCUGAGAGGAUGAUCAGCCACACUGGCACUGACACACCGCCCACACUCCUACGGGAGGCAGCAGUGGGGAAUAUUGCACAAUGGGGGAAACCCUGAUGCAGCCUUGCCGCGUGUGUGAAUAAGGUCUUCAGGUUGUAAAGCACUUUCAGUAGGGAGGAAAGGUAAUAUCUUAAUACGUUUUUGCUGUGACGUUACCUACAGCAGAAUGACCCGCUAACUUCGUUCCAGCAGCCGCGGUAGUAAAGAGGGUCCCAGCUUGAAUCUGGAUUAACGGGCGUCAACCGCGCG